CUGGAAAGGUGGACAAUCGCCUGAUCAGUGGGAGCUCAGAGGCAGCUAUCCUGCAAUAGCCUCGUUCCCCCGAAUUGGUCCUGUAGGGUUGAACACUGUCCACACCUGAGGGGCACCUGGGGCCCAACAAGACAGUCCACUUAGGUGGAUUGGAUAAAAUCGGCUCCAACUUACCCAACAUGGAGGGGACAGCAUGUCUCCCUAUCAUCAGAGUUGCACAGCUUGAUUUUGAGGCUGGCUCACAUAUUGGACAACUUCUGGAGAGCAGAGUCAGUGAGUGUCACCACAGCAAUGCCCUGCAUGGGCUUCGAGUCUAGGCCUGCCACAG